GUCACGGUGGUCUAGCGGUUGGAACGCUGGCCUUGUAAUCCUGGGGUCUCGGGUUCGAUUCCCGGCGGUGCCC
rnacentral:tRNA from 1 species